GUAGGGUGCAAGCGUUAAUCGGAAUUACUGGGCGUAAAGCGUGCGCAGGCGGUUUUGUAAGUCUGUCGUGAAAGCCCCGGGGGCUCAACCUGGGAACUGCAUUCGAUACUGGGUGUCUAGAGUAUGGUAGAGGGUAGUGGAAUUCCCGGUGUAGCGGUGAAAUGCGUAGAUAUCGGGAAGAACACCAGUGGCGAAGGCGGCUACCUGGACCAAUACUGACGCUGAGGUGCGAAAGCGUGGUGAGCAAACAGGAUUAGAGACCCUGGUAGUCCACGCCGUAAACGAUGAGAACUAGAUGCUAGUGAGCUUGACUCAUUAGUAUCGUAGCUAACGCGUUAAGUUCUCCGCCUGGGGAGUACGGCCGCAAGGUUA
rnacentral:rRNA from 1 species